rnacentral:rRNA from 1 species
CUAGCUGGUCUGAGAGGAUGACCAGCCACACUGGAACUGAGACACGGUCCAGACUCCUACGGGAGGCAGCAGUGGGGAAUAUUGCACAAUGGGCGCAAGCCUGAUGCAGCCAUGCCGCGUGUAUGAAGAAGGCCUUCGGGUUGUAAAGUACUUUCAGCGGGGAGGAAGGGAGUAAAGUUAAUACCUUUGCUCAUUGACGUUACCCGCAGAAGAAGCACCGGCUAACUCCGUGCCAGCAGCCGCGGUAAUACGGAGGGUGCAAGCGUUAAUCGGAAUUACUGGGCGUAAAGCGCACGCAGGCGGUUUGUUAAGUCAGAUGUGAAAUCCCCGGGCUCAACCUGGGAACUGCAUCUGAUACUGGCAAGCUUGAGUCUCGUAGAGGGGGGU